rnacentral:rRNA from 1 species
GAAGGUCAGGCUGAAGACCUUACCCGAUUAGCUGAGAGGUGGUGCAUGGCCGUCGUCAGUUCGUACUGUGAAGCAUCCUGUUAAGUCAGGCAACGAGCGAGACCCACGUCCCCACAGUUGCCAGCAUACCCUCCGGGGUGAUGGGUACACUGUGGAGACCGCCGCUGCUAAAGCGGAGGAAGGAGUGGGCAACGGUAGGUCAGUAUGCCCCGAAUCUCCCGGGCUACACGCGGGCUACAAUGGUUGGUACAAUGGGCAUCUACCCCGAAAGGGGAAGGAAAUCUCUUAAAGCCAAUCGUAGUUCGGAUUGAGGGCUGCAACUCGCCCUCAUGAAGCUGGAAUCCGUAGUAAUCGCGUUUCAACAGAACGCGGUGAAUACGUCCCUGCUCCUU